GUAUAAUACAAAUACAGUAAAGUCAGUCAUGAAAAAAAGACAAAAAACAGAGCACAGAUCACAUCAUGGAACAAUUCACGCAAGAAUAAAGUGAGUCAAUAAAAAUAUUAAAUUUGUCUGGGUUACACACUCCGAAUGUCACCGGAUGGUCCCAACUCCCAGUCCAAGAUUAUUUUUAAUAAUCCAGACUUGGGCAUGCAGUUUUGAUUUCAUGCAGAUUUGCUCUAAACAAAAGAAUUCCAGAGGUAAGCCAUUUUUUUGUUGUCAAUUAUUUUAUUGAAUUUGUAAAAUGUCUUUAUGUUCUUAUGUUGUUACGCUGGACCUCACGCAUUGUCAUCUGAUAUAAAGGGUUUACCCAAAAUUACUCUUCAUUAUACGUUUUGUUCUGUUUGUUUUUUGGUUUGUUAUUUUCUAUUCAAGGUCAGAGUUAGAGAUGUCGCGAAACAUGGAUGCUGUCCAGGAAGUAGGAGGGUCUGGAAGGGAGGGUCUGCUGGAGAUUGGCCGGGACGUGUUAGCUGACCGGAGUUCGCCGCGAACAGCUCGUGGCGAACCGUUCACGAGAAGUUCGCGGACGGUUCGCGACAUCUCUAGUCAGAGUUUGAUUGGUUAAAAUUUCAGAUAUAAUGCAAUGGGUAUUUUCAUGUUAUAGUAAACGUAUACAAUAUCACUUUGUGGGUUCUUAUUUUUUUGUGUGAUUUUUUAUACAACUUGUCCACAGCAUUUUCUAACACUUAUUUUCAGUGAUUGCCUUUUGUAUAACUCGUGUACUUAUAUAACUGACAAUAAUACCUGCCUUGAGCACAUUGGGGUAGUCAUAGCCUGUGGCUAGAUUAUUUGGAGAUCACGCGCCCCCUAUUGUUACCAGUCUCCUGUAUAAAGUGAGAUGCAUCAAUAGCUUAGCAACAUGCGUGCCUACUGGCUUCAACGCAUUGUGUUACUAUAGUGAUACAAGCAUUGUGCGUUGGUUUAAACAAAGAGCUUUAUAGUAGUAUCACAGAUCCCUAAUAAGGAACUUCCUUCUUACACAAAAUCCAACAUGGUUAUUUAUCUGUGUUUCCAUGUCAUAAAAUUAAUAGCGAUUACAAUAAACCGUAAACACAGAGAAGCAGACCACAGUUAACUCUUGAUACAUUAGAGAGUGAGAGAUUAUUCCUAUUUUGAGAGAUUGAUAGAAACGCUCCAUUUCAUACUGAGCGGUCAGAUACUUGAUGAGCACAUUAAGAUAUUUAACCCCUUAAGGACACAACUUCUGUAAUAAAAGAGAAUCAUGACGGAAUAUUUCCAGCGUGUGUCCUUAAGGGGUUAAGUAAAGUAACUUCUGUCCAAAACAAGCUAAGUGCAAGCGGGCUUACUGAAAAAAAACAACAUAAUGAUAAUAAUAACAAUAAUAACUAUAUUUAUAUGCAUCUGUCAAGCUAAGCAGGUUAUCUGUUUAUAGGAGCACUAUAAUGAAACAUUAUUCUUUGAUAUGAUAUAAACUUAAUUUAUGCUUUUUUUGUAAACUUGUAUAUGGCCCUUGUAAUUUAAGACAUAUUAGGGUAUUGUACAGACAGAAUCCAGCUUGGUAACCGUACAGAGGCUUACCCAGGGGGAGCACAAAGGCCAGCCCCACCCCAGCAGCCAGGGAUAUUUAGGGCAAAGAUGUGUGCAGUUAAGUUUCCCAGCCAGCAAAGUCUAGCUCCCUAGUGGUGUGAUAUAUGGAUGCCUACUGGAGGAGCGUAUGGGGUAAAUACAUUUUAAGCCGUUCUGUUUCCUCAAUAGACCUCCUCGGACAUUUCACUACAAUGGAGCUGAGUUGCAGCUGCAUGUAUGCAGAAACGAUGAUAAUUAUGCCACAAUUCACAGUGGGAGGCAUAAUCAUUUCUUGAUGGCGGGACUGUGAGAGGGUGAAAAUAGGUCUAAAAAAAAGAGAUGGAGCUGGAGUGGUGAGAGUGAAAGAGAGAAUUUGAAUGGAGAGAGAUGGAGCUCAGGUGGUGAGAGAGAGAGUUUAAAUGGAGAGAGAUGGAGCUGGGAUGGUGAGAGAGAGUGUUUGCAUGGAGAAAGAUGGAGCUGGGAUGAUGAGAAAGAGAGUUUGCAUGGAGAGAGAGGGAGCUAGGAAGUGAGAAAGUUUGAAUAGAGAGAGAUGGAGCUUGGAUGUGAGAUGGAAAGUUUGUAUGGAGAGAGAUGGAGAUGGGGUUGUGAGAGAGAGAGAGUUUGUAUGGAGAGAGAUGGAGCUGGGAUGGUGAGAGAGAUAGUUUGUAUGGAGAAAGAUGGAGCUAGGAUGGUGAGAAAGAGCGUUUGCAUGGAGAAAGAUGGAGCUGGGAUGGUGAGAAAGAGUUUGCAUGGAGAGAGAGAGUUUGUAUUUUGAGAGAUGGAGCUGGGAUGUGAGAUGGAGAGUUUGUAUGGAGAGAGAUGGAGGUGGGGUGGUGAGAGAGAGUGUAUAGAGAAAGAUGGAGCUGGGGUUGUGGGAGAGAGUUUGUAUGGAGAGAAAUGGAGCUGUAGUGGUGAGAGUAAGAAUUUGAAUGGAAAGAGAUGGAGCUGGGGUGGUGAGAGAGAGAGUUUGAAUGGAGAGAGAUGGAGCUGGGGUGGUGAGAGAGAGUUUGUAUGGAGAGAGAUGGAGCUGGGGUGGUAAGAGAGUUUGUAUGGAGAGAGAUGAAGCUGGGGUGGUGAGAGAUAGCGUUUGUAUGGAUAGAUAUGGAGCUGGGAUGGUGAGAGAGAAUAAACGUUUCAUGGGGAAAGAAACAUAUGGUUAGGAAGGGAGAAAGAGAUGGAGCUGGGAUGGUGAGAGAGAAUAAACGUUUCAUGGGGAAAGAAACAUAUGGUUAGGAAGGGAGAAAGAGACAGAUGGGAAUGGGGAAGAAAAGGCUGGUAAAGAUGAGGAGGGUGUCAAAGAGUGAGGUAGAGAGAAAGAAAUGAGUCUAGAGAAGAAUGAUCACUUUUCCUGGUUGAAGAAAAUUAAAUCAAAAACAUCAUAUUCAAAUUAUGAAUUUUAAGGAAAAGCAUCUCUGAACCUGGUCUCAAAGCUCAUGCAAGGUCAAGUCUUGUUUUUUAUGAUUAUGGUUCACCAAGUACUGAACUUAGUCUAUGCUCUUUAACAUAUAGACCUUUUUGUGCUUAGAGGAGGAUAUGCACCAAGUCUAUGGCUCUUUGUGGACAGGUAUAUCCACCCAAUUUAGGUCAACAACAGCUGAUUUGGAAAAAAAAAUCGUAAACUCGGCAAUAGCAACAGUUGGGUAACUUUAGUGUGAAUUUUGCAAUUUAGUUUUUAAAUCAUUAAUAUUCACUCCUUAGUACAGGUUUGCUUUGACGUGGCAGGUGAGCUUACACUUAAAUGGCCAUUGGAGUAAUACUAAAAAGCCUCCAGUUAUUUAAAUGUGUAUAGGCAUUUGGGAAAGAACACAGGUUAACUUUUUUAUUUUUUUAUUUCUACGCAUGGCAGAAUACGUUGGUGCUAUUUGAAUAUAAUAUUGAUAUACACUGAAAAAGUAGCGAUUACAAGUUACAUUUUCCAUCUAACCACGGCGAGUGAAAAAAGAACAUUUCAAAUUUCUAGCCACCUUACUAGUACUUUAGCACAAUGUCUGCCAAAGAUUCUUAUAGUUACUGUUCAAUUAGAAUUUUUAUGUUCUUAACCUUUCAUUACAGGAAUUGCCAUUUAUUAAUUGCUUCAGUAAUAAACUGGAAAAUAUGACACGGCGGGGUGUGUAAUUAUAGGAAGAUAAUUGUACAGCACAAAUGUGUUGCCACUCAGUACUUGUAAUUAGUUCUUGACAUACCUAGAGUGAUUUAAAGCUUAUAUUAUAAAUGGCAAAAAAGUAAAUUCUUAAUAAAAUGUUUCUGUUAUACAAAUGAAUCCCCACUAUCCAACAAAAUGAAUGUGCUUAUAUGUGUAGCCUUAAUUUAAUCUUAUAAGUGGAAGGACGGUGUAAUAUAAAGAUAAUUAUUUUAAUAUUCCUGAGCAAAAUAACUUGUUUUCUUUUCAAUGUGUGCACAAUUUGUUUCCCACUUUUUCAAAAAGUUUUUAAUUCUUUAUUUAUUGAUCCUCAUUCUCACAAAUUAUGAGGAUGCCGUUAUAGGAUAAAGACCGCCGUACAGGUAUUACAACACAUGGCAAACAUAACAAUAUAAAAUAAACAGUCUCAGUGUCGAAAGUGAGAUGAGGUUUUUAAUUUUUUUUUAUGACUGUGGUACUAUCAGCUCGGUUCAGCCUGCUAGGGUUGAUGUAAAUUCAGCUUGACUAGGGCCUUUAAUGCUACCCUUGCGUAUUAGGGCCAACCAGCAGGGACAAGAUGGAAUUGGUUAGGGAUUAAGGCUAGUGGAACCCUACUUAUGGUUCUCAGUCCUCCAAUAACUAGGAGACUACAUACUAAGAGGAGUAACGACUCGGCACAUUUAAAAUAAUAGGGCCCUCAACGAGGCUCAAAUCUGAUUACGGAGUGCACAUUUGCAUUACCAGAAAUGUAAAAAACUUUUUUAACUAAAAGAAAUCAGAAACUUCUACAACACUUCUAAAACACUAAUAGGUAAGUGUGUUUAGGUAGUCCGCAAUCGACCUCAGGUUGUGGCUGCAGCAUAAGCAUCGGACUCAGACCACCAGGGAACAAAUGGGAUGAUGGUCACCGGGUCCCAUCUGUGCUUUUCUGUUGGCUUUUUCUUGUGUCCAAGAGGUGGCAGGGAGCCUUGCGGGAGGCCAAGGGUCCCCAGAAGUGCGUGCAUGUCCAUCAUGUCCUGGAUCUUGUAGGAGGUAUUGUUGUGGGUGACCAGCAGGAUCCGGGAUGAAUGCCAGCUGUAGCAUAUGGUACGCUCUUGCAGUAGGGAGGUUAAGGGGUGGAACGAUUUCCUUCAGAACAGCGUGCCUCCUGAGAGAUCUGUGUAGAAUGUGAGUGUCAUGUUCUCAAAGGUGUAUUGGGGAGUCCCCUUUAGUGCGGACUGCAUCGCAGCCUUGUCUUUGUUUUGCUGGAAACGCAUCACCAUCUCUCUUGUAGCUGUUUCUGGUGCUUUCUUCGGUUUAGGGAUGCGGAACACUCCAUCCAGUACAAUAUUCUUGGCCGGCUUUGGGGAUAGCAGUGUCACCAGCAGGCGCCGCACCAAAUGUGGGAGCUCCUCUGUCGGUAUCUCUUCUGAGAUGCUCUAAUCUUCAGCAUUUCACUUCAUUCAAAUAGAACUGAACGCUAGCUCCCUGUCGGCCAUUCGCAUGAACCAAACCCACGAAUGGUCAUCAGCGGUACUUUGCCACGAAUGUUAUGGAACUGUUUUUGGCAUGAGGUGACUGUGCGGUUCCUGGACAAACUUGGUCCGUGGUUUUGCACCACUUUGAGACCAGGAGAGCGCUUUUUGGAGGGAAGGUGUCUGAGACUAAGGGGAACAAACGCUACCUGAGAGCCAGGUGGAGCACCCUGUAUUUUGGACGCAGGAGCCCUACCCCCAUCCCACCUCCUUGAUGAUUUUAGCCAAACCAAUACUUUCCCUAUAUCACUUACUGCAUCCCAACCAUGCACACUGCAUGAGAUGAUUAACCCCUUAAGGACCAAACUUCUGGAAUAAAAGGGAAUCAUGACAUGUCACACAUGUGAUGUGUCCUUAGGGGGUUAAAUUAAUACAAUACCUCUUUAAGUAUAUUUAAUAAUCAUUUCUA
rnacentral:lncRNA from 1 species